rnacentral:rRNA from 1 species
GACGAACGCUGACGGUGUGCUUUAGACAUGCAAGUCGAGCGAGAAAGCCCUUCGGGGUUAGUAAAGCGGCGAACGGGUGAGUAACACGUGGGCAAUCUGCCCCUCGCAGGGGGACAACCGGGGGAAACUCCGGCUAAUACCCCGUAAGUUUCCAAAGUCGCAUGGCAUUGGAAAGAAAGGCAGCUUCGGCCAUCCGGCGAGGGAUGAGCCCGCGGUACAUUAGCUAGUUGGUGGGGUAACGCCUACCAAGGCGGCGAUGUAUAGCUGGUCUGAGAGGAUGAUCAGCCACACUGGGACUGAGACACGGCCCAGACUCCUACGGGAGGCAGCAGUGGGGAAUCUUGCGCAAUGGGCGAAAGCCUGACGCAGCGACGCCGCGUGA